UCUAGUUAAUUCUACUAAUAGUUAUAUACUUAUCUUAAAGAUUAAGUUAUAUAUAUCUAAGUAUAAGUAAUUAUAUAGUAAAAUUAUAAAUAGCUUAUUAUAUAAGUUAUUAUUUAUUUAAUAGUACCUUACUACUUAAAUAACUAUAGUAAUUCUAGAGCUAAUAUAUACUAAAAAUCCUAACUUUAAAAGAGAGAUAUUUAUUAGAUUAAAAACUAAUACCCUCUAGGCUCCUUAAUAAUUUAUAAUAACUUUUUAAAUUAUAUAGCCUUAUACUAGUAAUAGUUUAUUUCAAUUUCUUCUCUAUUAACUUUUAAUAUUUAGGUAUUAGCUAAAUAUAGUUAUAAUAGGUAAUAGAGGGUUAGGGCUUAACCCUAGAGAAGGAGCCUAAAAAAUAGCUACUAUAUCUAAAGAAGGUAGUAAGCAUAUAAAUUACCUAAUCCUAAUUUAGGGAGGUAGUAAUAAUAAAUACUAAUAUAAGGCUCUUUUAGGUCUUAUAAUUAAAAUAAGUAUAAUUUAAAUCUCUUAAUAAGGAAUAAUUAGAGAGUAAGUCUAGUACUAGUAGCUAUAGUAAUUCUAGCUCUAAUAAUAUAUAUUAAAGUUAUUAUAAUUAAAAAGCUUAUAGUUAAACCUUAGGCCUAGCUAGCUAGUCUACCUUACUAUAUAUACUAGUCUAGCUAGGCCUUUCCCUUUAUAAAACCUUAUACCCUUUACUAGGUAUAGUAGGGAAAUAGAACUUUUACUUUAAAAAAUUAGAGUACUCUAGGCAGGCCUAUACUUAAAUAUAUUAGUAUAGAAUAAUAAAAUAAGACAUAUAGUUCUAUUUUAUUAGUUUCUAGGACUAUUAUAAUAAUUAAUAAGGAUAGUUAGGGGCAUUAGUAUUUAAUUAUUAGAGGUAAAAUUCUUAGAUUUAUUAAAGACUAACUACUAUAAAAGUAUUUAUUAAGGAUAUUUUUAUUAAUUAGGAAUAAAAGUUAAGAGAUUAAAGAUAAUUAGAUAUUAUUAUAGUCUUAACUAUAAACUAUACUAACUAGGGAUUAGAUAAUAUUAUUUUUUAAUAUAUUUAGCACCUUAUAAGAAAUUAAAGUACUUAGGCUCUAGGGGGAGUAUAGUUAUAAGACUAAAACUUAAAGAAAUUAAUAAAAGGGUACUACUAAAGGUAGAGCCUAUAGCUUAAUUUAACUUAAUAUAAGGAAACUUACUAGGUCUAGAUAUAAUAAGGAUUAAUAGAUUAAGAGCUUUUUCUUAAUUUUAUAAGUAGUAGUAUAUAACUAUUCUUAGUUAGUAAAGUAAUUUAUCUACUUAAUUAUAAUAAUAAAUAAGACCUUAACCUACUAAAUAGCCUAUAUUACUUUAGUAAUAUACUAGCUUCUUAAAGAGACUAUUAGCUUAAGCUAAUAAAAGUUUAAGGCAAUAAUAGGUCUAUAAUACCCUUAGAUAUUCUAGGCUAUAUAUAUACUAUACUAAUAAAGCUAAUAAGUACUUCCUUAGCUAAAAGGCCUAGGUAAUCUUAUAAAACUCUAUUAUACUAGAGAUAAAGUAUUAUAAUUAUUACUCUUUAAUAAGGAAUCCCUAGUAAGUAUAAGUUAUUAGCUUAUAUUAAUUAUAUCCCUACCCUUUAUAUAUAUUACUUAUUACUACUACUAAUUAAAUAGCUUAGUAAGGCGUCUAGACUAGCCUAAGGAGGUAAGUAACUACCCCUUAGGGCUAGAAAGCUUUCUAAACUUAGUUAUUUAGAGGAAGUAAAAGUUAUAAUAAGGUCUCUAUUAAUAAACUAGUAAAGG
rnacentral:rRNA from 1 species